rnacentral:rRNA from 1 species
UACGAAGGGAGCGAGCGUUGUUCGGAAUUACUGGGCUUAAAGCGUGCGUAGGUGGAUUGGUAAGUAAGGAGUGAAAUCCCAGGGCUUAACCCUGGAACUGCUCUUUAGACUGCCUGUCUGGAAUUCGGAAGAGGUUGGUGGAACUCCCAGUGUAGAGGUGAAAUUCGCAGAUAUUGGGAAGAACACCGGUGGCGAAGGCGACCAACUGGUCCGACAUUGACACUGAGGCACGAAAGCGUGGGUAGCAAACAGG